rnacentral:rRNA from 1 species
UACGUAGGGGGCAAGCGUUGUCUGGAAUCAUUGGGCGUAAAGAGCGUGUAGGCGGCUCGAUAAGUCUGCUGUGAAAGUCCAGGGCUCAACCCUGGAAGGCCGGUGGAAACUGUCGGGCUAGAGUCCGGAAGAGGCGAGUGGAAUUCCCGGUGUAGCGGUGAAAUGCGCAGAUAUCGGGAGGAACACCAAUGGCGAAGGCAGCUCGCUGGGACGGUACUGACGCUGAGGUGCGAAAGCGUGGGGAGCAAACAGG